rnacentral:rRNA from 2 species
GCAGUGGGGAAUCCUACGGAAAGGCAGCAGUGGGGAAUACUGGACAAUGGGGGCAACCNUGAUCCAGCCAUGCCGCGUGAGUGAUGAAGGCCCUAGGGUUGUAAAGCUCUUUCAGCGAGGAGGAUAAUGACGUUACUCGCAGAAGAAGCCCCGGCUAACUUCGUGCCAGCAGCCGCGGUAAUACGAAGGGGGCUAGCGUUGUUCGGAAUCACUGGGCGUAAAGCGCACGUAGGCGGAUUGGUCAGUUAGGGGUGAAAUCCCAGAGCUCAACUYUGGAACUGCCUUUAAUACUGCCAGUCUUGAGUCCGAGAGAGGUGAGUGGAACUCCGAGUGUAGAGGUGAAAUUCGUAGAUAUUCGGAAGAACACCANUGGCGAAGGCGGCUCACUGGCUCGGUACUGACGCUGAGGUGCGAAAGCGUGGGGAGCAAACAGGAUUAGAAUACCCU